rnacentral:lncRNA from 1 species
UCCGGAUAAAUGGGUCCAAUACUAAUACCAGAUCCAGAUUCGUUAGGUAAAUACCCACAGGUCUUGGUCUGAACUCGGUCCGUUGACAGCUCUACCCAAGAUAUGAUCGAAAUCCUUUGCCUGUGAGUAGGGGUGAGCAAAAAUCGAACUUGAACCAAUCAAACUAAUGAAACCGAACCAAACCACAUGUUUGGUUGGGUUUAAAAUUUUAUUCGGUUUGAUUUGGUUGGUUUUUGAUAUAU